GCUCCGGUGGCCUAGUGGUUAGAGAGAGUGCCUCCGAUGCGGGAGGUCGUGGGUUCGAUCCCCGGUCGAGUCA